AGGGGUAUAGUUCAAUGGUAGAGCAACGGUCUCCAAAACCGUAAAUACGGGUUCGAAUCCUGUUACCCCUGC
rnacentral:tRNA from 1 species